GUGGGGAAUCUUGCGCAAUGGGCGAAAGCCUGACGCAGCCAUGCCGCGUGAAUGAUGAAGGUCUUAGGAUUGUAAAAUUCUUUCACCGGGGACGAUAAUGACGGUACCCGGAGAAGAAGCUCCGGCUAACUUCGUGCCAGCAGCCGCGGUAAUACGAAGGGGGCUAGCGUUGCUCGGAAUUACUGGGCGUAAAGGGCGCGUAGGCGGACAGCUUAGUCAGAGGUGAAAGCCCAGGGCUCAACCUUGGAAUUGCCUUUGAUACUGGCUGUCUUGAGUUUGGGAGAGGUGAGUGGAACUCCGAGUGUAGAGGUGAAAUUCGUAGAUAUUCGGAAGAACACCAGUGGCGAAGGCGACUCACUGGCCCAAUACUGACGCUGAGGCGCGAAAGCGUGGGGAGCAAACAGGAUUAGAUACCCUGGUAGUCC
rnacentral:rRNA from 1 species